rnacentral:rRNA from 1 species
GACGGAAGGUGCAAGCGUUGCUCGGAAUCACUGGGCGUAAAGGGUGCGUAGGCGGCUGUGUAAGUCUGGCGUGAAAGCCCCGGGCUCAGCCCGGGAAGUGCGCUCGAAACUGCGCAGCUCGAGUGCCGGAGGGGAGAGUGGAAUUCCGUGGUGAUAGCGGUGAAAUGCGUAGAUAUCAGGAGGAAUACCGGUGGCGAAAGCGACUCUCUGG